rnacentral:lncRNA from 1 species
CUCGAUUUAAAACUAAAAAUUAAACAAUGUUGUCAUCAUCCAAUACAUGAAAAUAUUUAGCCUAGCAUAUUUUUAAAAUUAGAUAAAGAAAAGUGGAAGGACAUCACCAAGAAUUUAUGGAACGUGAAUAACUUCAAUGGCGUGUAUAACUCUAUCAAUUUCUCCCCAGUUGGCUGCCUUUUGAUGCGUAUAAAAUAUAUAAAAUUCUGCCCCACU